rnacentral:tRNA from 1 species
AAAAUUAUAGUUUAAUAAAAUUUUUUAUUUACAUUAAAAAGAUAAUUGUUUAAUUCAAUUUAAUUUUA